GGCGGGUCUCCUCGCAUUGUACGGUAGCAAACCUGGUCAGGUCCGGAAGGAAGCAGCCAUAGUUACUUAGUGCAAGUGCCGAGGGUCAGGCUCGCCACC
rfam:Aquitalea magnusonii strain SM6 contig_62, whole genome shotgun sequence.